rnacentral:rRNA from 1 species
UACGUAGGGUGCAAGCGUUAAUCGGAAUUACUGGGCGUAAAGCGUGCGCAGGCGGUGAUGUAAGACAGGUGUGAAAUCCCCGGGCUUAACCUGGGAACUGCAUUUGUGACUGCAUCGCUGGAGUGCGGCAGAGGGGGAUGGAAUUCCGCGUGUAGCAGUGAAAUGCGUAGAUAUGCGGAGGAACACCGAUGGCGAAGGCAAUCCCCUGGGCCUGCACUGACGCUGAGGCACGAAAGCGUGGGGAUCAAACAGG